rnacentral:rRNA from 1 species
GACGUAGGGCGCGAGCGUUGUCCGGAUUUAUUGGGCGUAAAGAGCUCGUAGGCGGUCUGUUGCGUCCGCUGUGAAAACUCGGGCUUAACCCCGAGCCUGCAGUGGAUACGGGCAGACUAGAGGUAGGUAGGGGAGAAUGGAAUUCCCGGUGUAGCGGUGAAAUGCGCAGAUAUCGGGAGGAACACCGGUGGCGAAGGCGGUUCUCUGGGCCUUACCUGACGCUGAGGAGCGAAAGCGUGGGGAGCGAACAGG